AACGAACGCUGGCGGCAUGCCUAACACAUGCAAGUCGAACGAGACCUUCGGGUCUAGUGGCGCACGGGUGCGUAACGCGUGGGAACCUGCCCUUAGGUUCGGAAUAACUCCCCGAAAGGGGUGCUAAUACCGGAUAAUGUCUUCGGACCAAAGAUUUAUCGCCUUUGGAUGGGCCCGCGUUGGAUUAGCUAGUUGGUAGGGUAAAAGCCUACCAAGGCGACGAUCCAUAGCUGGUCUGAGAGGAUGAUCAGCCACACUGGGACUGAGACACGGCCCAGACUCCUACGGAAGGCAGCAGUGGGGAAUAUUGAACAAUGGGCGAAAGCCUGAUCCAGCAAUGCGGCGUGAGUGAUGAAGGCCUUAGGUUUGUAAAGCUCUUUACCCGGGAUGAUAAUGACAGUACCGGGAGAAUAAGCUCCGGCUAACUCCGUG
rnacentral:rRNA from 1 species